CAAUAGCGUAUAUUAAAGUUGUUGCAGUUAAAAAGCUCGUAGUUGGAUUUGUGGCGUACGGUGUGUUCCGGGCACUUGUUGUCUGAGUAACCUGCUGUUGCCAUCCUUGGGUGGAACCUGUGUGGCAUUAGGUUGUCGUGCAGGGGAUGCCCAUCAUUUACUGUGAAAAAAUUAGAGUGUUCAAAGCAGGCUUAUGCCGUUGAAUAUAUUAGCAUGGAAUAAUGAGAUAGGACUUUUUUGCUAUUUUGUUGGUUUGCGCAAAGAGGUAAUGAUUAAUAGGGACAGUUGGGGGUAUUCGUAUUCCAUUGUCAGAGGUGAAAUUCUAGGAUUUUUGGAAGACGAACUACUGCGAAAGCAUUUACCAAGGAUGUUUUCAUUAA
rnacentral:rRNA from 1 species